CCACCAUGCCCUGUUAAUUUUUGUAUUCUAAAAUUUUUUAGUAGAGAUGGAGUUUCACCAUAUUGGUCAGGCUGGGGUUAGACCAUAUUUUCUAACCACCUUUCUUUGCAGUUUAGUGGGGCUUUGUGACUGAAUUCUGGCCAAUGGAACCACUGGGAGGCCUGGCCCAGAACAUCUUCCUGUGGAUUCUCUCAUCUGGCAACUGGAUGCCUACACCAAGGGUGAUUUUGGAGUCAUGUGUUGGAGAUCACAAAGCUUUUGUCAGCCAGGUUCCUGAAUGACUGCUAGACACCACGGGCUGAACUUUAUGAGCUCCAGCACCACCUCCAGCCUUCAGUGACCAUCUGGAGCAGGGAUCGGGAUGGAGGAGAAGGGGGACAACCAUGAACUUGGUGACCCAGGGUCAGCCUGAUUUCCCUUGUGGACACAUUUAUGCCCAGUGUGCAUUCCUCCCGAGGUCUGUUCCAAGUCUGGAGGCAGCAGAGUAGAGUGGAGAGAACAGUGGACUUGGAAUCUCACCUCCCAGAUUAGAGUCCUGGAUCUGACUUUGAUUGCUGGUGCUGCCUUGGGCAAGUUACUUUAGCUGCGUGCACCUCCAUUUCCCCAUGGAUAGAACAUGGGUUUUGGAUAGAAGUGUCUGAUAGCUGUACUGUGCUUUACGGUUCAUGAGCACGCACACAUAGGCCCAUAAUAUCAUAUCUCUGUUUACCCUGGGAGGUAGAUAUUAUUGCCCCAGGUGUCAGGUAAGAAGACUGAAGACCAGGGGUCAAAUUGCUUGCUCAGAGUCCCACAGCCAGCAGCAGCCAAGCAGGACACCAAGUCAGAGUCUAGAUUCCAGAUCUUGCCCUCUUCCAAGUGUACCACAUUCUUCUCAAAGUGGUCUCUCAGGUCUUUUGUCUAGAAAAUUUUGAGACUUUGAUGAGAAGCCCAUAUCUGCACACUGGGGAUUAGGCCAGAUAACCCUGUGUGUCCUUCCAGGCCUGGUAUUAUGAGGCUGAAGCCCAGUGCCCCACACUCCCAUCCUCACCCCUGAGAGAAAGAUAGAGAUUCCAGGGCCAGCCUGGUGGGUGCUGAACCUGCCCUGCUGAGCCAAGCCCAGGAGGCAGCCAAAGUCCUACCAGUGACCUUACCCUGGGGGCCCCUCCAGGUAGGGACCUGGUUGGAAAAGACAGACCGACUUCUUCUGGGAUGGCUGGAAAAAGAUGACAUACUCAAAGCCUUGUCCUUCCACUUGCAUGCACCUGGUGAAGAUGCGACAGUCACCUUUGUCUGGGGAGAGAUAGGCAGUGUCGUAGCCGGAGAAGGGAGGGUAUGGUCAGGAUGCAGCACCAUUUGGUUGAGUCUUGCCUCUGGUACAAGAUUAAGGAGAGAAAACCAGAGGACACCAGGUCCACCCCCAGGGAGCCUUCCCUCUGGGAGCAGAGGCACAGUUGCUGUCCUCACACAGCCUUUCUGUCUAGGGGAGAAACAUGCAGGAAGUGCCCUGGCUGAGAAUGGAGAUAGGAUCAGGGCCAGGGCAAGACUUUAAGAUACCAUAAGCAUUGAAAAUUGAAAAUGUAAUUACUCAUGUAACUCACAUAUAAUUCAAAAGAAUAAUACUAAACAGUAAAAUAAGAGCAGAAAAGUCCA